CCCAAGUUUGACUUCUAAAGUCUGCUCUUUAUUUGCUUGGACCAUGCAGAGGGUCAGGGGUGUGCCAGUCCAUGCCCAUGACUGGGUAUGACCACCCUCUGUUAUGGCUCCCUCUCUCACUUUUCACUCAUUCCUAGUUCUAAGUUCUGCCCCCUUUGGCAAGCCAUGCUUUGGGACCCUGGAGUUCUCUCUGAAUUCGAAUGCUUGAGGGCUGGUAACUCCACACUGCACUAUUAUAUUACAACAGUUAUUAUUCAGAGUGUAAGCAUUGCUUGGGUCUCUUGAAGCUCCUUGAAACUUUGAAACACUUUGAAUAAGAGAAGACCUUGGAAUUUGGAAUCCGGAAUUGGUGAAACACAUGUUAUUGGAUAUUAAUAUUGAAUUAGGCUGCUCGGAUCUAGCUGUAGGCUGUGAUGUAUUUUUAUUGUUUACUUUCUUUCUUCUGGUUCUGUAAUAAUCUUGUAAAAGAAACACGGGGAAGUAUUAGUAAAGGGUGUGGGAGGGGUUUACUUUAUUGCACAAAAGGGUAGAUACCAUGCCUAUAGUACCAAUAUUUGUUAUUCAUUCACUUAGAUAUCAUGCCUAUAUGUUCAAUGCUUUAAUCACCUAGAGAUCAUAUUGAUAGGUAUUUAACAUUUCUUAACUCAAUCAUUAGAAAUCCUGCCUAUAGGACCUAAUAAUCAAACAACUAGUUGCAUAUAGAAAUUAUGUCUAUAGGAAAUGCAUAAAUGAUAGGGAAAAUGUAGGGUAAUCAAAUACUAAUUUCUUACCGGUUUAAUAACAGUAACGAGCCUUAAAAAUCAAGUUAUGGAUAUCCUGCCUAUAGGGGUUCAAACUCGCCUUAAUCUGUAUUGAUAAUAAUUUGGCAAUUGGCUUCACCGUUUUUCAACAAAAC
rnacentral:lncRNA from 1 species